CUUUUAAAAUAUGUGUUACUCCCCUCUUUUUCCUAGGUGACAUUUUAGGUUAUUGGGUCACAGAUUGCUGGCACAAUCAUGCCUGUUCUCAAACAUCUUUUAAACUUGGGUGAAGUGAUAAGUAGGGGAAGAAGAUGACUUACUGAAAGCAAUGCAGAGUCUCCCGACAAGAGAUUCAGACUGAACUGAACAGCUUUGUGUCAGACUUUGGAAGACCGCUGGUGCCCAAGGUGUUCUCUGACAGGGCAAUGGCGAAUCUAGGUCCCUCUUUCACUGCUACAUCAAUGAAGUGGGCCACUUGGACAAGGCCAAAACUGCUAUCCCAACAAUAGCACUUGACAGGGAUGUUCGGCUCCAGGAAGCCAUCAGAUGCAGCAGGUGGCCAGAGGGGGAGCCGAACGGGCUCAUGAAAUGUGACAUCCCCAACUUCAUCAACACGGACCAUAACUCUUCCUUUGGGGAAGAUGAUCUCCUGAUUUUGUAACCACCAAUUGUUCUAGAAGAUAAGCCAGUUGCUCAGACCUCACACAAAGACGAAUUGAGAAACGUGCUUUGUCAAGUGUCUUUCUGAAGAUGUGAAUUCUGUCUUUGUAUGUCAGGAAUUCCCCUUUCAAAAAAUUGUAUGUGUUUGUGUCUGAGAGAGAGAAAUGGAGACAGACAGAAAGACGGAGACAGAAGAGAGCCCCUCAGAAGAGAGCUAGUUAAGGAGGAGGAUCAAUACAUGGUGCAUUUAAUGACAGUCCUGUCCCCAGGAAUGCACGGAAGGUUAUCAGCUGAGUAAGGGGAGGUGCCUCUGUGUCCCUGUGUCCCUGUAUCUCUGUCUGCUCACAGUGCCCUGCCACCGGCUACUGAGCAAGAAAAGUGCUAUUCACCAUGAUGGGUAUUUUGCAGAUGUGUUGGUGAUGGUCGUGUGGCUCGUGUGUGGGCUUCUAGCUGGGA